AGUUGGAAGAUUGUAGAUUGUUCUUUGCUGGACAGUAUUAACUUCCUCCCCCGCAAAGAACAAUCUACAAUCUUCCAACU
rnacentral:pre_miRNA from 1 species